CCUUUUUGUUUGCUACAAAAAUAAUAGCUAGUUUUUCUUAUUGAUUUCUUGAAAAAUCGGGGCCUCGAUUACAGUGUGUUAAAUGGCUUCUUAUAGCCAUAAUAAUAAAAGAAAUAAAGGAACAAAUCUCCUUCCGAUUUGAUUUGCCAAUCUUUGAUUCCCUUUCCAUUUUUGUGUUUGCAGGUGAAGAUUCGGCUGCGGCAGGCUAAAUGGUUGCGGCGCAAAUGGUUAGAAACCCUAGGGUUUCUGUCAUCCUUUUUUGGGCCACUGUAUUUGGGCCUUCAUUUAAUUUUAUUUUGGGUCGUAUGUAAUUGGGCCUCUGUAGUUUAAUUGGGUUUGGGUUUUGUUGUAAUUUGGCAGUUUCAUUUGGGCCCGUUUAUUAUUUGUACCCGGGGUAAAAAUCGGGUAUUACAAUAUAUUUUUUAUAAUUUUAUAAUAUUGUAUGGUUUUUUAUAAAAUCAUGGCCAAAUUG
rnacentral:lncRNA from 1 species